rnacentral:rRNA from 1 species
UACGAAGGGGGGCUAGCGUUGUUCGGAAUCACUGGGCGUAAAGCGCACGUAGGCGGAUGUGCCAGUCAGGGGUGAAAUCCCGGAGCUCAACUCCGGAACUGCCUCCGAUACUGGGAGUCUUGAGUCCGGGAGAGGUGAGUGGAACUGCGAGUGUAGAGGUGAAAUUCGUAGAUAUUCGCAAGAACACCAGUGGCGAAGGCGGCUCACUGGCCCGGUACUGACGCUGAGGUGCGAAAGCGUGGGGAGCAAACAGG